GGGUUGUGAGGUUAAGCGACUAAGCGUACACGGUGGAUGCCCUGGCAGUCAGAGGCGAUGAAGGACGUGCUAAUCUGCGAUAAGCGCCGGUAAGGUGAUAUGAACCGUUAUAACCGGCGAUUUCCGAAUGGGGAAACCCAGUGUGUUUCGACACACUAUCAUUACGUGAAUACAUAGCGUAAUGAAGCGAACCGGGGG
rnacentral:rRNA from 1 species